rnacentral:rRNA from 1 species
CACGGUGACUUGGCUUCGGUGUUUUCUCGCACUUCCUCGUAGUUAGGUCGUCUCCUCACCCUCGCUCGCCCGCUCCGCGUUAUUUGCACUCUUCAGCUUAGGUCGCUCGUCUAGUUUCGCUCGCUAUCGGGGGCCUCUUAAGGGAUAGCCCUCUCCGGCUCAGGGUUAGAAGGCGCCGUUACAGGUUCCGCGUCGACUUGGUCGACACGGUCGUCGCCGCCACCGGCCGCGGCCUGAUGUGGGUGGCCUCGCUCCCCGGCCGGGUGAGCGACUCCAAGGCGCGGUGGCAGUGGCAGUUGCCGCUUCACAUGGUGAGCGGCCUGCUGCCGCUGCCCAAGUCGUGCCGGUUCCUCCGGGUCUUGGAGCGGCGGUUCCGGCGGAAGCUCGCGGAGAGGCGGGAGGGCGGGGGAGGGGGCGGCGUCAGGCUUUGGGUUGAAGGGAUGUUCAGAGUCAACGUUCAAAUACGAGUCUUCUCUGUAUUUCUUAACGGAAGUAUACUGUGGUAAGUUUCACCAGGUGGAGUACGUGGAGACAAGUCCAGAUGUCAUUGGUAUCUACCCGCGUUUAAACUUUCAGGAGUUCUGAUAGUGUGUUGUUUCCUCCGUCUUAAACGACGACGUUCUCACCGAAAUUACAGUAACACAGUUCUUCGCUUGGGUAGUCUCGUUUACGGCCAACCUAGUCGAAGUACAUAAAGAAACGGACCUUAGGUCUAAUUAGUAUUCGAAGUUAACGUUUACAUACGAGUCUUCUCUCCUUUUGUUGACGGAACCAUACUGGCAUAGGUCCUUCCAGGUAGAGUACGUGGAGUCAAGUUCAGUUAUCACUGGUAUCUACCCGUUUGUAAACUUUCGGGUGUCAUAACAGUAUGUUAAUUCCUCCGCCUUAUACGACGACGUUUAGAACGAGACCACAGGAAUCGGGUUCUUCAAGUUCCUUACGUUAUAUGUUUAGGGGCCGUACUUAAUCGACUCUUUCUUCCGAGCAGGAACGGACAGACAUUAUGAAGUAGUCUAUUAAAUUUUUUAAGGAGGUAGAGGUUUAGUUGACACGUGUGAGUUCCGCUUUCAAAAGUCCUCCCUGGACCAUUGUGAUUCUUCGUUUUUGUUUACUACCAACGACGAAAAGUUGGAAGGUUUCUGUCCAGUGUCUACGUUGUUCCUUGGCUUUGGGAGUGACUCGUUCUCCAGUUCUGACAUCUUAGACUAAGAAGUAAAGGGGUUCAUAGUUACCCUUGUUCACUGCCCGUCUUACUGAGAUUACGAUGACUCGUACUAAGAACGAGACAACCGAGGGCAUAACUAGAAGGACAACGACUGUUUUGUGUUAGAGAACUACUUGGAUAGUUUAGACCGUCAUACCUUUUACAAUUUGGUCGACGAGGUCUCGGUUCGUAGUUCCGACUUCAUUAGCUGAACUCUGUUCUUACGUCCAGUGGGGGCAAUCAAAGUCACGGUGGUUGACUAUACGAGUUGGAACACCGUUGUUGUUCAUGUCACGGACAACGAAAUGUUAGAGGACAACUUUGAUAGGUCGGACAGUUCUACCUUUUACUAUUUGGUCGGUAAGGUCUCGGUUCGUGGCUUCGACUUCAUUACCUGCAACGUCUAGGUUCACGACUCCGCCUUCAUCUGCAAGGUCUCGGUUCGUAGUUCCGACUUCCUUACCUGCAACGUCUUGGUUCGCGACUCCGACUUCAUCUGCAAGGUCUCGGUUCGUAGUUCCUACUUCAUUACUUGAGUUGAGGUCUUGUGUGUAGAGAGGGGAACCCGAGUUACGGUGGUUGGUUAUGAAGGUUGGAACGCCGCUUUCGUUGACGUCACGGACAACUAAGACGGGUUACGUCAAUGAGCUACAGUUGAUUGGCUUAGGUCUAGAUGGGUACGGCAGGACUGGACUUUAAUGGUCUCCCCCGCUGGCACGAAGGGAAAUCACUGCCGUUCACCCACCGGCACUCGAAUGGAAAUGGAACUUGGGACUUCCACCAUCGUGGCGCCGAAAUCCAGGUAUUCUCUACCUCGGUCGGCUACGUGGACAGUACAGCAUCCAACAUCAAAGUGGGGCUCAAAUCAAGGUGCGGGGAGGGCACAAGACGAUCAUUUCAACCGCUUAGCAUAGGAGUGGCGUUGAGAUUAAUAAGAGGACCCUGUAGCAAUAAUAUAACUACAUUCAAUACGAUAGAUCGGCUACCAUGACUCGAGCUGGUAGAGUGACUUGGACCUAAACACAACAACGGUUCAACAGUGAAAAUUAAAUCUUCUGAUGCUUGAAAUAACCCUG